rnacentral:lncRNA from 1 species
CCAGGGUCACCUCACAGUCCAAGAUGGCUCCUGAAGCUCCAGCCAUUAUAUCUUUAGGAAGAGAGAAAGGAGGGAAUGCCUGUGGCAUAUCUUUAGGAAGAGAGAAAGGAGGGAAUGCCUGUGGCUUGUAAGAACACUUCCUAGAAGUUGUGCCUUCCUUGUGUUUACAUCCUAUUGGUCCAAAUUGAAUCAUGUGACUCUAUCAGCUAUAGAGAAGACUGGAAAAUGUAGUCUUUUUGUGUGUCCUAGCGCUUAAAAGCAAGACUUCACAUAUGUUAACAUGCCCUGCACACAUAC